UAUUAUUAAUGUACAUUUGUCACGAAAUAUUGUUUAAUAACUCUGGGUCCGUAUGUUCAUUCCAAGAAUAUGACUACGAGAUUACGAUAUCGAUUAAAGAUUAAACCGCAACAAAAGCGUUUUACGAAAUCCUCCUUGUUAAAAUAAAACGUGUCGAUCAUGUAAAACUGAAAUUCCGGGAAUUAAUUUAUUUCCCAUUACUCAUAAAAAAAUAAUGAUAAUUCAUGGAAAACACAUCGGGAACGUUUCUUAGCGAGUGAAAUUUAUUCGUAGCUGACAUAAGUAGAAGUUCGUUAUUCAAGAAUUACUCAACCGCAAUCGGCGACUGCGCUUUUGCACAGUCUGCGCUGCAGACAAAGCAACAUCCGUUCUUGCUGAUACAGCAUUUAUGCGGCUGCCCGCUACUUUAUAUCCACGACCUAAACAAAAACUAAAAAUAAGAGUCGCGCCUUGACGAUGUCAUGUGAAAAAAGAUCAUUCGCGGAUAUUUAAAAGUUCUAGGAAGUUUACUAUCAACCCGCUAAAUAAAAUUCAAGCAUGCGGGAGGAACAAACACGAAAUUCUUUCUCUUUGUUUCUCUUUCUUUCUGUCUGUCUUUCCCUGUCUGAAACGAUGCUGUGUGCGAUUUUCAUCGAUACGUUAUAACUGCACUCACAUUCAUCUAAUAAUAUCGUCCGCGCCGGCCCUAUAACUUACUUAGGUAGGUCGACAUCAAUUUUGGCACAGCGUCAAUUGUGACAUACGAAAAGCAUGCUCUCUGUUCGUGAGAACCCAUGUUAAUUUCGUACAUAGUUGCUCAUUCACAUUCGCAACUCCGAUCGUUCUAAUACGUGUUAUUUCAACUCCCCCAAAAAAUUCAAUGAGUAACACGAUAGAAAUAAAUAUAGAAGAUUAAGAAGAUAAAAAAAAUGCCACAUCAUGAUGCGAAGAACUAAACUAACAGGAAGAUCAAUUCAAGAUUUUAAUCCACCGAUAAGGUGGAUUGUGAGGUCAAAUGUUUUACAAUACCAUAGAUUGCUCUAAGCUAAUUAAAUUCCACAUUUUUCUACUCCCGCGGCGAAUGCAAAUCGGAACCUUCGGCUGCCGCUUCCGAGAAGAAUGUUCAUCGUCAAUGAUAUUCAAGAGGACACUAAAUGACAAUGAUACCAAAUUGUCCUUCGACACGGACACAUGCACGAAAUGCAAAUCAUGUAAUUCAAAGUGAGAAUAGUAUCAUGCUAUCAUA